rnacentral:rRNA from 1 species
CAGUGGGAGCACAGAGCAAUCUGUGUGACUGCGUACCUUUUGUAUAAUGGGUCAGCGACUUAUAUUCUGUAGCAAGGUUAACCGAAUAGGGGAGCCGAAGGGAAACCGAGUCUUAACUGGGCGUUAAGUUGCAGGGUAUAGACCCGAAACCCGGUGAUCUAGCCAUGGGCAGGUUGAAGGUUGGGUAACACUAACUGGAGGACCGAACCGACUAAUGUUGAAAAAUUAGCGGAUGACUUGUGGCUGGGGGUGAAAGGCCAAUCAAACCGGGAGAUAGCUGGUUCUCCCCGAAAGCUAUUUAGGUAGCGCCUCGUGAAUUCAUCUCCGGGGGUAGAGCACUGUUUCGGCAAGGGGGUCAUCCCGACUUACCAACCCGAUGCAAACUGCGAAUACCGGAGAAUGUUAUCACGGGAGACACACGGCGGGUGCUAACGUCCGUCGUGAAGAGGGAAACAACCCAGACCGCCAGCUAAGGUCCCAAAGUCAUGGUUAAGUGGGAAACGAUGUGGGAAGGCCCAGACAGCCAGGAUGUUGGCUUAGAAGCAGCCAUCAUUUAAAGAAAGCGUAAUAGCUCACUGGUCGAGUCGGCCUGCGCGGAAGAUGUAACGGGGCUAAACCAUGCAC